rnacentral:rRNA from 1 species
UACGGAGGGGGCUAGCGUUGUUCGGAAUUACUGGGCGUAAAGCGCACGUAGGCGGCUUUGUAAGUUAGAGGUGAAAGCCCGGAGCUCAACUCCGGAAUUGCCUUUGAAACUGGAGAGCUAGAGUACUGGAGGGGUUGGCGGAAUUCCUAAUGUAGAGGUGAAAUUCGUAGAUAUUAGGAGGAACACCGGUGGCGAAGGCGGCCAACUGGACAGUAACUGACGCUCUGGCGCGAAAGCGUGGGUAUCAAACAGG